rnacentral:rRNA from 1 species
AUCUAUGGCCAUGCCAUCCUGAAGUGCCCGAUCUAGUCUGAUCUCAGAAGCUAAGCAGGGUCAGGCCUGAAUAGUACUUGGAUGGGAGACCACCUAGGAAGACCAGGUGCUGUAGGUG